UCACUGUUCUGGGCUCCUCUUCGGCCCUACCC
rnacentral:piRNA from 1 species